rnacentral:rRNA from 1 species
UACGUAGGGUGCAAGCGUUGUCCGGAUUUACUGGGCGUAAAGAGCGCGCAGGCGGUCGUUCAAGUCGCGUGUGAAAGCCCCCGGCUCAACUGGGGAGGGUCACGCGAUACUGAUCGACUCGAAGGCAGGAGAGGGUAGUGGAAUUCCCGGUGUAGUGGUGAAAUGCGUAGAUAUCGGGAGGAACACCAGUGGCGAAGGCGACUACCUGGCCUGUUCUUGACGCUGAGGCGCGAAAGCUAGGGGAGCGAACAGG